ensembl:lncRNA
AAAGUUGAUUCCCCACCUUUUUAUAAUCCAUCCUUAAAUACCAGAAGGCUGCAAUGAGGUCACCCCGUAACCUUCUCUUCUCGAGGCUGAACAAGCCCAGUUGUCUCAGCCUCUCUUAAUAGGGGAGGUGCUCCAGCCCUCUGAUCAUCUUCAUGGCCCUCCUCUGGACCCUCUCCAACAGGUCCCUGUCUUUCUUGUACUAGGGGCCCCAGGCCUGGAUGCAGUACUCCAGAGGGGGCCUCACAAGGGCAGAGUAGAGAAGGACAAUCACCUCCCUCUCUCUGCUGGCCUCCCCUCUUCUGAUGGAGCCCAGGAUACCAUUGGCUUUCUGAGCUGAAAGAGCAUACUGAUGGAUCAUGUUUAGUUCAUCCACCAGGACCCCCUGGUCCUUCUCUGUUACGUUUGUAUGAUAUAUAGGAGCGUUCUCAGAUGUUAGCAAGAUGAAGAACUUGUUCCCUUUGGCCUGAGACAAUAUUUACUGAAUUCAGGAGAAAACCUUCCACUGAUUUCAAGUCAUCAUCAGUAUAUAUAGGAUUUUUAGCAUUUUGAAUGGUGGUAUUUAAUUAUUGCACAGUUGUUCCUACCCCAUACUAAUGCCAGGAUAGAAAGUGAUGUGUAGAGCUUUUCAGUGAUCAGCAUUAAGUACCAUAAACAUUUUUAGGGUUACCAGUUAGGAGAAACACACCUACAUUGCUGGCUAAGUAGCAUAUUUUCAGAUAAAUAUUUUAUUUAAAAGUAUAACAAGUUUACUAGCAGCAAAAAGGUUGAAAGAGGCUUUAGAUUAAUUGGGGUAUUAAAUAUUGCUGAGGUGAUGACUCAUUACACCCCUUCUGGCACAAAGUAUGUAUCAGGAAAACAUAUGCUCAUGUUUUGAAGGCCUUGCAAACGUCUCACUGGAAUGUCAGGCCUCUUUUGAUGAGAUCAUUUUCUUCAUACUAAGUACACAGAACUACUAAGCACAAGCGAAAAGCAAAUACCAGUCCUGUAGAGGACUUAGUCAGGGCACAGCUGGCAAGAACAACUAUUUGGUGUAGUCUGGUUAAACUUCAGUUUUUAAUUUGAGAUGAGAAGUUCAGAAACAGCUCUAUAAAAGAUGGUGAAAGAAAACCAUAUGGAGUUCUGGGCUCCUGAACAGUGCAGAUAAACACAUUGGCUU